rnacentral:rRNA from 1 species
GAUGAACGCUGGCGGCGUGCUUAACACAUGCAAGUCGAACGGGAAUUACUUUAUUGCAACUUCGGUCGAUUUAAUUUAAUUCUAGUGGCGGACGGGUGAGUAACGCGUGGGUAACCUGCCUUAUACAGGGGGAUAACAGUCAGAAAUGGCUGCUAAUACCGCAUAAGCGCACAGAGCUGCAUGGCUCGGUGUGAAAAACUCCGGUGGUAUAAGAUGGACCCGCGUUGGAUUAGCUUGUUGGUGGGGUAACGGCCCACCAAGGCGACGAUCCAUAGCCGGCCUGAGAGGGUGAACGGCCACAUUGGGACUGAGACACGGCCCAGACUCCUACGGGAGGCAGCAGUGGGGAAUAUUGCACAAUGGGGGAAACCCUGAUGCAGCGACGCCGCGUGAAGGAAGAAGUAUCUCGGUAUGUAAACUUCUAUCAGCAGGGAAGAUAGUGACGGUACCUGACGAAGAAGCCCCGGCUAACUACGUG